rnacentral:tRNA from 1 species
GCACCGCUAGCUCAACUGGCAGAGCAGCUGACUCUUAAUCAGCGGGUUAUAGGUUCAAGUCCUAUGCGGUGCA